GGAUUGAAUCUGUGAAAUUUAGCCUCAGUCAGUCAGAAAUAUUAUAAUUCUGAUCAUUUAUCAGUUCUGACACUUGUGAGACUUCAUCAGAUGUGUAAACAUCACAGCAGAUGUGUCAAAGUAACUGAGGAUAAAAGAAACAUGAAGGAGAUUUACCUUAAAAUAUUUUGCAGUAGAACAAAAACCAAAGAAAACCAUGACUCAGCAGGUGAACAUUACCUGAUGCUGCUGAUGUGAAGCAGAGCAAAGUUACAGGUUUUAUUAGAGACACAGCUGAGCAUUUUGCAAUGUGCCAUCAUUUUAAAAAGAUUAAAUUUCUUUGGUGUUGAACAGCACAAAUGAGGCUUUCUUGUCAAGGGUCAUUUUGAAAAAAAAAACAACGGCCUGUACACAACAGUAGACUGGUACAUAAUUAGCAAGCGAAUAAUGCAGAAAACAGAGAUUUGAGAUGGGAAACUGUUCUCUGAGUCCACUGAGAGAGAGAGAGCUGUGCAGGAAGUGUGAGUUUAUUGUGGUGGAAGCAAAACAGCAAAGGUAAGAAGGAAUUAAUGAUGAUGAUAUUUAUCAAAUGUGAAGAGGUCAGAGUGAUGAAACCUAUCAGGAACCUCUAGAAUCAUAUUUCCACAUCAUUUCCAGUGUGAGUUUCAAACAGAAGUGGCAGUCUUUAAUUUUUGAUCCUCUGCAUUUUAUAACUUACCGGGCGACCGGGUCAUUUUUUUUUAGUGGUUGUGGUAUGACCGCCGGCCUAAUGACUGAAAUGAAAAUUCAUGUGAGAGAUUAUCUAAAGUUUGUAGAGAGAAAAAUCUUUAUAUUGGUGUUGUGGUUUAUUGUUGACUUAAACGACAUCCCAUUCGUCGGGCCUGGUGUCUGCUUCCCCCACAAAGAAAGAAAAAAUAGACACAACUUCUUCAACAGUUAUUAACAGAAGAAAAUGUGAAGGCUAAUUUCAAUAAACUACUGAAUUCAAAUCUGUUUUAUUAUUAUCAUAUAGCUAUAAUAUAGCACCAAAUCACAACAACAGUCCCCUUGUUUAAAUAAGUAUAUAUAGCUGUACAUUUGCAUAUGGUUUUAUGUGUUACUGGGGUAAUAAAAGCAAACAUGUAACAAAUUGUAAGGAAGAGGUUAUGAUGGAUAGGGCCUAAACUGGAAGAAAAAGUGUUAUUAAAUAUUGAAAAGGGGGUGGGAUUAAAUAUGAUUAUGCUUCUUCCUACUCCUUUUUGAACUUUGAAGUUGUUUAUAAUUAUUAUUUUGUUUUCCUUGUAUUUUGUAUUUUUGUCUCUUUUCUUUGUUGUUGUUUUACUAUUUUAGCAUGUUCACAGUAAAUAUACAAUACCAGCUGUACACUGUCUAUAAUAAAGACAGUGAACAGUUAAUAGUUAGUAUUCCCAUGUACUCAUAUUAUAUUAUGAUUAUAUUAAUAUAGAACAAGGUUCUGUAAACAUGUAACUAAACUUAUCUGAUAGAAACUGUGAGUACAUUUCAGAGCCCUCAGUACUUUCACUUAAAUAAAGAUGUUGAAUCAGUACUUCACAGCACUUUAAAUAUCAAGCAUUUUGAAAUACUUCUUAAGUACAAGUAUCUGUACUUGUUCAUAAGUGCAAAGUGUCAGUAUUUUGCCGCCUCUGUUGACAGACAGUGUUAAUCUCUCUGUUUUGUGUCACAUGUCAGAUCAAUGUGGGGAUAUUUCAGUUUUUCUGACACAGAACAUAAAAGUGUUUAUCUGCUCGGCUCCACUGAUCUGAAAAUGGGUUCGUUAAACACUUUUGUUCUUUCAAACAGUUUCAAAAAUGCCUCCAAAGAGAAAUGUACAGAACCUUUUGGUUUCCAUUUCCUCGUCUCUUCUAAAAGACAAAUGACAGACAAGUGAAGUCAAAUGAAAUGGGUUUCAUUCUUUCCUCUGACUUUUCUCUCUUAAAGACAAACAGCUGAUGUGACAGUACUCACAUCAUUAUUGAAUGUUUUCAGUCCAUAAAUGCAAUGAUCAGAUUGUCAGUGUUACACCUGUUCCCACUUGUAACAGGUGUAACACUUGUACCACAGCUGUUCAUUUUGCUGAUGUUUUGAUUCAAACUUGAUCUUUAUUUAAAGUGAAAACAGAGUUUCUGAUGAAUUGUGCUGUAACAACUGUUGUUGUGCAAGACGCUGCAGAAACCCUGAAAAGCACCACAAUAAACCAACUCUGCCAACCACAAGUGUAAUAUGUGUAGUAUGUAACACACACAGAGCAACCCUCUGAUGUCUUUUCUGAAGCUGCUGUGUGUAUUAACCAGUUUGCAUUUUCAAUAUUCAUGUGGAACUUGUUAAUCUGCAAAUGUGCAUUUGUUUAAUUUCACCACAAUAAACCAACUCUGCC
ensembl:lncRNA